UUUGCUGAGAAAUAUGAAGCAAGAAAAGCUAUUGAAAAAUAUGAUACUGCUAAAAUCGUGGCACUGUUGAAACUGUUCGGUCUUGAGAAUUGCUGUAAUGCUAUCGAAUUAUAUCAAAUUGAUGGAAGAGCUAUUUUUGGCUUGAAACAACAUCAAUUGCAAUUUUGGAAAAAUGAAAUAUCAAGAAGUGAUUCCGAAGCUCUUCUGAAAUUCGUAAAUCAAUUGACAGAAAAUCCUGAAACGUAUUACAAAUAUUUUCUCGAAGCCACGAUUGGUGUGAAGAAUAAUAAUGAAGGGUAUGAAUCUGAUGAUAGUUUUGAUUCUGUAGACCAAAUUUAUCAAAAUGAUGAAGAAGAUGAUCUUCAUGGUUCAAGUUCUAGAAUUGAACCAGCAUUUGCUUACGAAAAUGAUGUUAGAAAUGAAGGACGUUCGCCUUCGUUGCCUGAGAAACCAGACCGUUUCAAAUCUCUUCCCCAAAAAGAUGAACAACCUA